rnacentral:rRNA from 1 species
ACCUCAGAUCAGGCGAG